UACGAAGGGGGCUAGCGUUGUUCGGAUUUACUGGGCGUAAAGCGCACGUAGGCGGAUAUUUAAGUCAGGGGUGAAAUCCCGGGGCUCAACCCCGGAACUGCCUUUGAUACUGGGUAUCUUUGAGUCCGGAAGAGGUGAGUGGAAUUCCGAGUGUAGAGGUGAAAUUCGUAGAUAUUCGGAGGAACACCAGUGGCGAAGGCGGCUCACUGGGCAGAUACCGACGCUGAGACGCGAAAGCGUGGGAAGCAAACAGG
rnacentral:rRNA from 1 species